rnacentral:rRNA from 1 species
UACGUAGGGGGCAAGCGUUGUCCGGAUUAUUGGGCGUAAAGAGCGUGUAGGCGGCUUUACAGGUCCGUUGUGAAAACUCGAGGCUCAACCUCGAGACGUCGGCGGAAACCAUCUGGCUAGAGUCCGGAAGAGGAGAGUGGAAUUCCUGGUGUAGCGGUGAAAUGCGCAGAUAUCAGGAAGAACACCCGUGGCGAAGGCGGCUCUCUGGGACGGUACUGACGCUGAGACGCGAAAGCGUGGGGAGCGAACAGG